rnacentral:rRNA from 1 species
UUUGCCCUCCCUCUAGCCCAACCAACCCCCUCGCACAAAUAUCAACAAGCUUACUUCCUCAACCCAACCAAAACAUUAUAACUAUAUCCUAGUAUAGGCGAUAGAAAAGACACCAUGGCGCAAUAGAGAUCAACCGUACCGUAAGGGAAAGAUGAAAUAACAGUGAAAACCCCAAGCAACAAAUAGUAAAGACUAAUCCUUGUACCUCUUGCAUCAUGAUUUAGCAAGAAUAUCCAAGCAAAGCGCACUAAAGUUUGCCUCCCCGAAACCCAAGCGAGCUACUUGCGAGCAGCUAAACAUUGAGCGAACCCGUCUCUGUCGCAAAAGAGUGGGACGACUCGCUAGUAGAGGUGAAAAGCCUACCGAGCUGGGUGAUAGCUGGUUACCUGCCAAACGAAUCUAAGUUCCCCCUCAGCCCCUUCUACCAGGACAUCUCACCUAACCCACCAACUGCACGACAGGGCUGAGAGCAACUCGAGGGGGGUACAGCUCCCUCGAAAAAGAACACAACCUCCCCUAGCGGAUAAUAACACACCCUACUCCCAUUCCGUGGGCUUUAAAGCAGCCAUCAACAAAAGAGUGCGUCAAAGCUCAUUCCCAUUAAAAAUCCGAAAUCCCCUUUGACUCCCUUACCCGUAGCAGGUUAACCUAUGACUAUAGGAGAAUUAAUGCUAAAAUAAGUAACUUGGGUCCCUACCCCCUCUACAGCGUAAACUUACAUUGGCCCACUAUUAACAAAUCCAACUUAUACCCCCACUGCAACAAGAACAUAUAUUUAACCCAACUUGUUAUACCAACUCAGGAACGCUUACAAGAAGAUCAAAAUCUGUAAAAGGAACUCGGCAAACCCAAAGACCCGACUGUUUCCCAAAAACAUAGCCUUCAGCAACCAACAAGUAUUGAAGGUGAUGCCUGCCCAGUGACUACAACGUUCAACGGCCGCGGUAUCCUAACCGUGCGAAGGUAGCGCAAUCAAUUGUCCCAUAAAUCGAGACUUGUAUGAACGGCUAAACGAGGUCUUAACUGUCUCCUGCAGAUGAUCAGUGAAAUUAGUAUUCUCGUGCAAAAACGAGAAUGUGAUCACAAGACGAGAAGACCCUGUGGAACUUCAAAAUCACGACCACCUCGACACUAACCUAAAUCCACUGGACUCACCAGCACAAAACACCUGGUCGACAUUUUUCGGUUGGGGCGACCUUGGAGAAAAACAAAUCCUCCAAACUACAGACCACAACUCUUCACCAAGACCUACCCCUCCAAGUACUAAUAGUAAUCAGACCCAAUACAAUUGACCAAUGGACCAAGCUACCCCAGGGAUAACAGCGCAAUCUCCUCCAAGAGCCCAUAUCGACAAGGAGGUUUACGACCUCGAUGUUGGAUCAGGACAACCUAAUGGUGCAGCCGCUAUUAAGGGUUCGUUUGUUCAACGAUUAACAGUCCUACGUGAUCUGAGUUCAGACCGGAGCAAUCCAGGUCGGUUUCUAUCUAUGAAUACACUCCUCCCAGUACGAAAGGACCGGAGAAGUGGGGUCAAUACUAUAAGCACACCCCCCCUUCUAAACAAUGAACUCAACUUAAUUGUCAAGAAGACUCCCAACACUUAUCCUAAACCCCUAGAAAAGGGCUA